ACGGGAGGCAGCAGUGGGGAAUAUUGCACAAUGGGCGCAAGCCUGAUGCAGCAACGCCGCGUGAGGGAAGACGGUCUUCGGAUUGUAAACCUUUGUCUUUGGUGAAGAAGAAAGUGACGGUAGCCAAGGAGGAAGCCACGGCUAACUACGUGCCAGCAGCCGCGGUAAUACGUAGGUGGCAAGCGUUGUCCGGAAUUACUGGGUGUAAAGGGUGCGUAGGCGGCUCAUAAAGUCAGAUGUGAAAUACCGAGGCUCAACCUCGGAGCUGCAUUUGAAACUUAUGGGCUUGAGUGAAGUAGAGGUAAGCGGAAUUCCUAGUGUAGCGGUGAAAUGCGUAGAUAUUAGGAGGAACACCAGUGGCGAAGGCGGCUUACUGGGCUUUAACUGACGCUGAGGCACGAAAGCAUGGGUAGCAAACAGGAUUAGAUACCCUGGUA
rnacentral:rRNA from 1 species